CCCAUGUCCUGUCUCAUGAUAGAGUUCUCAUGAGAUCUGGUUGUUUGAAAGCGUGUAGCACCUCCCACUUUGCUCUCCCUCUCUCUCCUGCAGCCAUGUGAAGACAUACUUGCUUCUCCUUCACCUUCUGCCGUGAUUAUAUGUUUCCUGAAACUUCCCCAACCAUCCCUCCUGUACAGCCUGUGGAACUGGGUUAGUGUCCAAGACUGCCAUUGCCAGCUACGUGACCUUGGGAAAGUCCCUCAGUGCCUCCAUUUCCCUGUUGACAGACAGGGCAUGACUGUGCCGAGCACAUGGAAUUGUUGUGACAGCAAAUGAAAUCAUCUCUGCGAUGUGUGGGAGGCUGAGCUGAGUGCUGGGCAAGUGCUCACCGCACAUUCCUGGUCAUUGUUGUUGUUAUCGUGGCAGGAGGAUUUCAUUGAGUUUGGAGCCCUUCCCAGGGUAACAAAGCAAGGAGUCAUUUAAGAUUAAUGUUGCUCUUUUAUGAUCUAGAUAGGCCCUUGGGCAGAGCAAGAAGAAACCAAAGCUGCUUCUCACCAGCCAUGUGGGCUCACUGGCUAGGAGAGCUGAUUGGGCUCCUUUUUAAACUUGGAAAAUAAUUCCUCUUUAAAUAUGGUUUUGGACAAUAAAAAUGAAACAUAUGUACCUGUAAAAAAUGA
rnacentral:lncRNA from 10 species